UGGGAGUACCAUAGGGUGUUGUCUGGGUGGGCUGUCAUUGGGAGUACCAAGGGUUGUGCCUGUGUUGUCUGGGGUGGGCUGUCAUUGGGAGUACCAUAGGGUGUUGUCUGGGGUGGGCUGUCAUUGGGAGUACAUAGGGUGUUGUCUGGGGUGGGCUGUCAUUUGGGAGUACCAUAGGGUGUUGUCUGGGGGGGCUGUCAUUGGGAGUACCAUAGGGUUGUUGUCGUGGGUGGGCUGUCAUUGGGAGUACCGUAGUGUGGUGUCUGGGUGGGCUGUCAUUGGGAGUACCAUAGGGUGUUGUCUGGGGUGGGCUGUCAUUGGGAGUACCAUAGGGUGGUGCACUGUGUUGUCUGGGGUGGCUGUCAUUGGGAGUACACAUAGGGUGUUUGUCUGGGGUGGGCUGUCAUUGGGAGUACCAUAGGGUGUUGUCUGGGGUGGCGGUCAUUGGGAGUACCAUAGGGUUUGUCUGGGGUGGGCUGUCAUUGGGAGUACCAUAGGGGUUGUCUGGGGGGGGCUGUCAUUGGGAGUUCCAUAGUGUGUGUC
rnacentral:lncRNA from 1 species